CGCGGCCUAUCAGCUUGUUGGUGAGGUAACGGCUCACCAAGGCUUCGACGGGUAGCUGGUCUGAGAGGACGAUCAGCCACACUGGGACUGAGACACGGCCCAGACUCCUGCGGGAGGCAGCAGUGGGGAAUCUUGCGCAAUGGGCGAAAGCCUGACGCAGCCACGCCGCGUGGGGGACGAAGGCCCUCGGGUUGUAAACCCCUUUCAGCAGGGACGAAACUGACGGUACCUGCAGAAGAAGCUCCGGCCAACUACGUGCCAGCAGCCGCGGUAACACGUAGGGAGCAAGCGUUGUCCGGAUUUAUUGGGCGUAAAGGGCUCGUAGGCGGUUCGGUAAGUCAGGUGUGAAAGCUCAGGGCUCAACUCUGAGAAGCCAUCUGAUACUGCCAUGACUAGAGUUCGGUAGAGGAGCGUGGAAUUUCCGGUGUAGCGGUGAAAUGCUCAGAUAUCGGGAGGAACACCAGCAGCGAAGGCGGCGCUCUGGGCCGAAACUGACGCUGAGGAGCGAAAGCGUGGGGAGCAAACAGGAUUAGAUACCCUGGUAGUCCACGCCGUAAACGGUGGGCACUAGGUGUGGGGCCUAAUCAACGGGUUCCGUGCCGUAGCUAACGCAUUAAGUGCCCCGCCUGGGGAGUACGG
rnacentral:rRNA from 1 species